CAGACCACUGGUUGUCGGCGCCACCGAGACUCUGGGGAGGCAGAUUGUGAGGAGAGCAGUUGAUGAGGGAUAUGUUAGUUGCUUGGUCAGGCCGAGACCAACCCCUGCCUAUUUUCUAAGAGAUUGGCGUGCUACGGUUGCCAUGGGACGUCCAGACGAGCCCAUAAAAAAGAUUGGGAAGGAAAAGUUGCUCUUAUACAAUGUGCAAAAGCAAUGGGAAUCCAAAAAUUUGUUUUCUAUUCCAUCCACAACUGUGACAAGCAUCCCGAAGUUCCACUUAUGGAGAUCAAGUAUUGCACUGAAAAGUUUCUCCAGGAUUCAUGCAUAGAUUAAAUCACAUCAUGAUUCAUUUAUGUGGAUUCAUGCAAGUAGGUUUCACUUAAACUUCCUCUCUUACUAUCUUGUUACUGGCAUAUCCAGACUUGUGCUUCACUGUCAGCUUGAUGUUUCAAAUUAAUUUCCGUAUCUUCUUAUCAUUCUUAAUUCUCAUAUGGCAUUCCUCCAACCCCCAUUCACUUUCUUUAUGAGAAACAACAAUUAAACCAGACAGUUAUACGAAGUUGCAUGUAUAAAAAUCAUUCAAAACA